rnacentral:lncRNA from 1 species
UGUGUCCUGGGGCCAGAGCACUCCUUGGAGCCAAGCUGCCCUCUGGCAGGGAAGUUGCACAGAGGACUGAGCAUCAAGAAUCUUUUCACGUGUGUGCUAUAUCCAAACAUCCUUUCAACUUUGUCUGCUUCAGGAAAACCGUCUUUCACGUGUUUGCUUUAGUAAGAUCUCAUUUCAACUCUGCCCCAGCAAAACAUCAUUUGACACAACUAACUUUCCAAAGAGCUAAGUUUCCCCUUCAUUCCUGCCCCUCUGUGACUCUACCCUCUGUAGAGUUUUCUCAGAAUAUGAUCCCAGUGGAUCCUGUACCUACUAAUAAUAUUGUGGACCUGUCACCUAAUUUCCUUUCCUACAUCUGAGUAUUGAGUUGUUGAAAGAAACACUAAAUCAAUGACAUGCUGCAGAUGACCCACAUUUCUGGCUGGUGUGGUCUGUAAUGUGACUACACAUGCAUGUUUUACACUAAGACAUGUUUAUGUAAUAUCCAUGUAUUUUUACAAGUAGAACAAUCAUAAGUGAUUUAUGAUGUGAUUCCUGGCUAAACAGAGCUUUGGUGUUCAUGUGUUCUCAGUGGUUUAAGAAUUACAUGUUGAGAUAGUUUUGUAAAGACAAGCAGGGUGUUGUAAAUCUAACACUAGAGGAAGAGGCAAGAGUAUCACAUGUUUAGAGCCAACCUUGGCUCUAUAGUGAACUAAGGGAUAGCCUGGGCCCUCAUCAUCCUAUCUUAAGACCCUAAAAGAUAUGUUUGAAAUAUUGGACAAUUGCAGUUACUAAACUAGUGUCCUUGGUAAGUUCCAGAAUGACUAAGUGACUCUGUAUCUGGGUAAUGAUAAUUAUGACUUUCCCUGUAAUAAAAUCAAGUGAAUCUUGUACUAAUUUGUAUUAUUUUGUCAGUAAGAGAAAUGUCUUAUGGUAGGAGUGAUUAAUGAUCUGCCAUACUUGAUGUAAAGAAUUUACCACUACUUACCCUAGGUGGUAUUGCUUGCUGGAUUGCCAGUAGCUAAGUAAUGACCUUUUAAUGUAAGAAAGAUCACAACUUCUAUCUAAAAUUGUUUUUGAUAUUUAAGCUUUUAUUGUCAAACUACAGCAUCCCAAUGUCAUGUUGUGCACUAGGACCUUUUCACUUGCUAUUCCCUGUGCCUAUUUUUUUCUCAAGAUAUUCUUAGUGUACACUUCCCUACUUCAUUUUCAUUGCUGUUCAAAUGUCACCUUUUUACACAGUCUAUCCACAUGAUCAGAAAUAGCAACCCUUCCUACUGUCACCCUUCAUUCUAUGAAGUAAUAUAGGUGAUGAAAUCUUAUAUAGCCUUGUGUUUGCCUGUUUGCUCCAACAGUAUGACAUGCUGUACAUGACAGGGAUUUUUAUUCACAUUCUAUGACUCUAUCCUCUCCUUAGUCCUUAGAGCAUGUCAUAGCAUUCAUUAGCAUAAUGGGAUAGUUAGUG